GUGUCAGCCGCCGCGGUAAUACCGGCAGCCCAAGUGAUGGCCGAUCUUAUUGGGCCUAAAGCGUCCGUAGCUGGCUGAACAAGUCCGUUGGGAAAUCUGUCCGCUUAACGGGCAGGCGUCCAGCGGAAACUGUUCAGCUUGGGACCGGAAGACCUGAGGGGUACGUCUGGGGUAGGAGUGAAAUCCUGUAAUCCUGGACGGACCGCCGGUGGCGAAAGCGCCUCAGGAGAACGGAUCCGACAGUGAGGGACGAAAGCUGGGGUCUCGAACCGGAUUAGAAACCCCUGAGUCC
rnacentral:rRNA from 1 species